UGGGCGUAAAGGGCUCGUAGGUGGUUGAUCGCGUCGGAAGUGUAAUCUUGGGGCUUAACCCUGAGCGUGCUUUCGAUACGGGUUGACUUGAGGAAGGUAGGGGAGAAUGGAAUUCCUGGUGGAGCGGUGGAGUGCGCAGAUAUCAGGAGGAACACCAGUGGCGAAGGCGGUUCUCUGGGCCUUUCCUGACGCUGAGGAGCGAAAGCGUGGGGAGCGAACAGGCUUAGAUACCCUGGUAGUCCACGCUGUAAACGGUGGGUACUAGGUGUGGGGUCCAUUCCACGGGUUCCGUGCCGUAGCUAACGCUUUAAGUACUCCGCCUGGGGAGUACGGCCGCAAGGCUAAAACUCAAAGGAAUUGACGGGGCCCCGCACAAGCGGCGGAGCAUGCGGAUUAAUUCGAUGCAACGCGUAGAACCUUACCUGGGUUUGACAUGGAUCGGGAGCGCUCAGAGAUGGGUGUGCCUCUUUUGGGGUCGGUUCACAGGUGGUGCAUGGCUGUCGUCAGCUCGUGUCGUGAGAUGUUGGGUUAAGUCCCGCAACGAGCGCAACCCUUGUUCACUGUUGCCAGCGCGUUAUGGUGGGGACUCAGUGGAGACCGCCGGGGUUAACUCGGAGGAAGGUGGGGAUGACGUCAAGUCAUCAUGCCCCUUAUGUCCAGGGCUUCACGCAUGCUACAAUGGCUGGUACAGAGAGUGGCGAGCCUGUGAGGGUGAGCGAAUCUCGGAAAGCCGGUCUCAGUUCGGAUUGGGGUCUGCAACUCGACCUCAUGAAGUCGGAGUCGCUAGUAAUCGCAGAUCAGCAACGCUGCGGUGAAUACGUUCCCGGGCCUUGUACACACCGC
rnacentral:rRNA from 1 species